rnacentral:rRNA from 1 species
UACGAAAGGUGCAAGCGUUACUCGGAAUCACUGGGCGUAAAGCGCACGUAGGCGGACUCGUAGGUCAAUUGUGAAUACCUGGGCUCAACCCAGGAACUGCAGUUGAAACCGCUUGUCUUGAAUACCUGAGAGGGUGGGGAAUACCUGGUGGAGAAGUGAAAUUCGUAGAGAUCAGGUGGAACACCGGAGGCGAAGGCGCCUGCCUGGCAGUGUAUUGACGCUGAGGUGCGAAAGCGUGGGGAGCAAACAGG